rnacentral:rRNA from 1 species
AGCGAACGCUGGCGGCAGGCCUAACACAUGCAAGUCGAACGAACCCUUCGGGGUUAGUGGCGGACGGGUGAGUAACACGUGGGAACGUGCCUUUAGGUUCGGAAUAACUCAGGGAAACUUGUGCUAAUACCGAAUGUGCCCUUCGGGGGAAAGAUUUAUCGCCUUUAGGGCGGCCCGCGUCUGAUUAGCUAGUUGGUGAGGUAAUGGCUCACCAAGGCUACGAUCAGUAGCUGGUCUGAGAGGAUGACCAGCCACAUUGGGACUGAGACACGGCCCAAACUCCUACGGGAGGCAGCAGUGGGGAAUCUUGCGCAAUGGGCGAAAGCCUGACGCAGCCAUGCCGCGUGGAUGAUGAAGGUCUUAGGAUUGUAAAAUCCUUUCACCGGUGAAGAUAAUGACUGUAGCCGGAGAAGAAGCCCCGGCUAACUUCGUGCCAGCCGCCGCCGGUAAUAC